AAGUGGUUUGCCUUUUUUAAGGAUGUCACUGAUUUUAUCAGUCAUUUGUUCAUGCAGCUGGGAACUGUGGGGAUAUAUGAUUUGCCACAUCUGAGGAACAAACUGGUUAUUAAAUAGAGCAUCUGUUGAGGGACUCUUUUAAAACCACAGCCAUGAACAGACGUUGGGGCUAAGAGACAGAGCAGCCUGCGACAGUGUGGACCUACCUGUAGCAGCUAGCAAAGGCCUCUAGCAGCUACAGUCCCUUCUGGAGUCUUUAUUUGCAUGCAAAAUGCAAAGGAGUCCUGGUGACCUACCUCCAAGGCAGCUGCCCUCCUGAACACUCCCUUGGAAAACAGUAAACAUCAUUUUGGAAUGUGAACAACCAGAGACUACACAGGAGAAAGGAAAAAAAAAUUCUGAAGAUGCAAAAUCUUGGGUGGCUUCACCGUUCAGUUUUUUAAUAAAAGGAACAAUAU
rnacentral:lncRNA from 1 species